UACGUAGGGGGCAAGCGUUGUCCGGAAUCAUUGGGCGUAAAGAGCGUGUAGGCGGCCAGAUAAGUCCGCUGUGAAAACUCGAGGCUCAACUUCGAGCUGUCGGCGGAAACUAUCUGGCUAGAGUCCGGAAGAGGAGAGUGGAAUUCCUGGUGUAGCGGUGAAAUGCGCAGAUAUCAGAAAGAACACCCGUGGCGAAGGCGGCUCUCUGGGACGGUACUGACGCUGAGACGCGAAAGCGUGGGGAGCGAACAGG
rnacentral:rRNA from 1 species